rnacentral:antisense_RNA from 1 species
UUCUAUGGCGGGCGGUGUGCGGAGGCCUUCGGGCCUGCCGGUUCCGUUGACCGGUCUGCUAACCGCGCACCGUCCGCCACCUCG